rnacentral:snRNA from 1 species
GGAUGUGAGGGCGAUCUGGCUGUGACAUCUGUCACCCCAUUGAUCGCCAGUGUUGAUUUGGCUGAUCUGGCUGGCUAGGCGGAUGUCCCCUUCCUCCCUCACUGCUCCAUGUGCAUCCCUCCUGCAACUGUGUGCUCAGUUGAAGAGGACGACCAUCCCCAAUAAAGGAGGACCGUUUUUUGGUCAAGGGUAUACGAGUAGCUGCACUCCCCUGCUAUAAUAUAACCUUCAAACAAGCUCUCAAGAAAUGUAGGAAGAUGGUGUGAGAAGUGCUGGUUA